rnacentral:rRNA from 1 species
UACGUAGGGUGCAAGCGUUAUCCGGAAUUAUUGGGCGUAAAGAGCUCGUAGGCGGUUUGUCGCGUCUGCUGUGAAAACCCGAGGCUCAACCUCGGGCCUGCAGUGGGUACGGGCAAACUAGAGUGCGGUAGGGGAGAUUGGAAUUCCUGGUGUAGCGGUGGAAUGCGCAGAUAUCAGGAGGAACACCGAUGGCGAAGGCAGAUCUCUGGGCCGUAACUGACGCUGGAGGAGCGAAAGCAUGGGAGCGAACAGG